UACGGAGGGUGCAAGCGUUGUCCGGAUUUAUUGGGUUUAAAGGGUGCGUAGGCGGCCACUUAAGUCAGCGGUGAAAGCCCGGGGCUCAACCCCGGAACCGCCGUUGAUAAUGGGGGGCUUGAGUAUGGACGAGGUUGGCGGAAUUGAGGGUGUAGCGGUGAAAUGCUUAGAUACCCUCAAGAACACCGAUUGCGUAGGCAGCUAACUAGGCCAUAACUGACGCUGAGGCACGAAAGCGUGGGGAGCGAACAGG
rnacentral:rRNA from 1 species